rnacentral:rRNA from 1 species
UAAUACGGAGGGUGCAAGCGUUAAUCGGAAUUACUGGGCGUAAAGCGCGCGUAGGCGGUUUGAUAAGCGGAGUGUGAAAUCCCCGGGCUUAACCUGGGAACUGCAUUCCGAACUGUCAAGCUAGAGUAUGAGAGAGGGUGGCGGAAUUCCGAGUGUAGCGGUGAAAUGCGUAGAUAUUCGGAGGAACACCAGUGGCGAAGGCGGCCACCUGGAUCAAUACUGACGCUGAGGCGCGAAAGCGUGGGUAGCAAACAGG